GCUGAGAUAGCUCAGUUGGGAGAGCUUUAGAUGGAAAAUCUGAAGGUCCCUGGUUCAAGCCUGGGUUUUGGCA